AUUUAAAUAGUUUAUCAAAAUUUUGAUUUGUGGUGUCAAAGAUACUCUAAUAAGAGUUUUAGAUC
rnacentral:tRNA from 1 species